UACAGAGGGGGCAAGCGUUGUUCGGAAUUACUGGGCGUAAAGGGCGCGUAGGCGGCCUUCUAAGUCGAACGUGAAAUCCCCGGGCUCAACCCGGGAACUGCGUCCGAUACUGGAAGGCUUGAAUCCGGGAGAGGGAUGCGGAAUUCCAGGUGGAGCGGUGAAAUGCGUAGAUAUCGCUUGGAACGCCAAAGGUGAAAACAGGUUGCUGGGGUUGUGCCGACGCUGAGACACGAAAGCCAGGGGAGCAAACGGG
rnacentral:rRNA from 1 species